rnacentral:rRNA from 1 species
UACGUAGGAUGCAAGCGUUGUCCGGAAUUAUUGGGCGUAAAGAGUUCGUAGGCGGAUUAUUAAGUCAGGGGUUAAAGACCAAGGCUCAACCUCGGGAGUGCCCUUGAUACUGGUAGUCUGGAGGAUGGCAGAGGAAAGUGGAAUUCCAAGUGUAGCGGUGAAAUGCGUAGAUAUUUGGAGGAACACCGGUGGCGAAAGCGGGUCUCUGGGCAAUAACUGACGCUGAGGAGCGAAAGCGUGGGGAGCAAACAGG